AUCCAGCUUACGAGUCCCAAAUAGGACGUAACAAACAUCCUGGAU
rfam:Schistosoma mattheei strain Denwood, Zambia genome assembly, scaffold: SMTD_scaffold0000120